GAUGAACGCUAGCGAUAGGCUUAACACAUGCAAGUCGAGGGGCAGCAUGGUCUUAGCUUGCUAAGACUGAUGGCGACCGGCGCACGGGUGCGUAACGCGUAUGCAACUUGCCUCACAGAGGGGGAUAACCCGUCGAAAGACGGACUAAUACCGCGUACACUCCAUCUUGGGCAUCCAAGGUAGAGGAAAUGAAAUUCGCUGUGAGAUAGGCAUGCGUCCCAUUAGCUAGUUGGUGAGGUAACGGCUCACCAAGGCGACGAUGGGUAGGGGAACUGAGAGGUUGAACCCCCACACUGGUACUGAGACACGGACCAGACUCCUACGGGAGGCAGCAGUGAGGAAUAUUGGUCAAUGGGCGAGAGCCUGAACCAGCCAAGUCGCGUGAAGGAUGACUGUCUUAUGGAUUGUAAACUUCUUUUAUACGGGAAUAACAAGAGUCACGUGUGACUCCCUGCAUGUACCGUAUGAAUAAGCAUCGGCUAACUCCGUGCCAGCAGCCGCGGUAAUACGGAGGAUGCGAGCGUUAUCCGGAUUUAUUGGGCGUAAAGCGCGUCUAGGUGGUUAUGUAAGUCUGAUGUGAAAAUGCAGGGCUCAACUCUGUAUUGUGUUGGAAACUGCAUGACUAGAGUACUGGAGAGGUAAGCGGAACUACAAGUGUAGAGGUGAAAUUCGUAGAUAUUUGUAGGAAUGCCGAUGGGGAAGCCAGCUUACUGGACAGAUACUGACGCUAAAGCGCGAAAGCGUGGGUAGCAAACAGG
rnacentral:rRNA from 1 species